ACCCUCGAUGGUAUGUCUGCAAUUUCAACAGAGGAUCAGCAUAAAAAAAAGAGAAGAAAGAAGAGAGAAGAAAAACAGACCUAGGCAAGGAACCGAGCUGAGACCGACAUCAUAUAGGGCUUGCUCGAUGACGAGCUCCCUCUGCUUCGGCACCGAGAUGUCCUUCAGACGGUGGAAGUCCUCUCGAUCCCCGGCCUCCACCCGACUAUUCUCAUUUGGUUGAGUUCGGGGGUCCCCCCAGCGGGAAGGGAACCCCCAAGGAAUGGGAGAAGAGAUAAAGAAGAACUGAUUCUUCCAUCCAUGAAUCGACGAUGAAAGACCAGUGAUGAAGGAAAGACCC
rnacentral:lncRNA from 1 species